GGCAAAUAAAUGCUAAAAUGGCUGUUUUGGGGUCUGUCUAUAGAAUGGUAGUUUGAAAUGUUUCCAAAAUUGGCAAAAAGAUCAGAUUAUAUAUCCAGCAUGAAAUCAGGUGGUGUAAUUUCUUCCUUUUGUGGCUCAGAACUUGGGAUAGCUAAAGUAGAUGGAGAAUUUGACAUAAUGUUUACUUCGGCUUCGUGGGUUUCAUCAUGAAGGGUAUUAUCCAUCUUAGCUUCUAGGAUUCUAUCUAGGAUCGCUCUAGCGUCAUCUGUAGGGAUGCGAAAGAAAGAACCUCUAGACAUUGUAUGUAGCAUUUGUUUAUGAUCUUUCUGAAGACCUCAAAAAAAGUGAAAUAAAAGAACAAGGUCUUUAAGAUUAAGUUUUGGACCAGAUUCUAAAAGAUUAGAAAAACGUUUCUAGGAUUUUUCUAAAGUUUCAUUAUCUUUUUGUUUAAAAGAUAGGACUUCGAGUCUAAGGUCGCCGAUACGGUCGAGGGAAUAAAAAUCUAGACAAAAGUUGGCUCGUAAAACUCCCCAUUCACCUCGUUGUUGACUUACCUUCUGACUCUACCAUUGUCUAGCUUCUCCCCUUAGAGAAAAAGGAAAAAGCUUCCAGCAUAAAGUUUUAUCAAAAAUGCCUUCAAUGCGAAGACAAUCACAUGUUUGCUCAAAAUCUCUAAUAUGAAGAUAAGGGUUUUCGUCUUCCUUUCCCAAAAAAGAUAGGUUUUGAAUCAUGGCAAUCAACCUGGAACUUAACCUAUACUGGGAUGUUUGGAUAGGCUGUGAUGACUCCCAUGGUAAAAGGUCAGUUAGUGAAGGUGUUGCAGAUUCAUGGAUCGAUUUAGAAUUCUGGUUUUCCAUAAGGUAAAAAUAAAGGAAAAUAAAAAAAUAUAAGUAAAAGGAUAAAAGUAUAGAUACAAGCUAGUAGUAAGACUCAAGGUUAUCUCAGCAAACCAUCUUUCUCCCUGGCAACGGCGCCAGAAAUGCUUGUUGAUAUUUGGUAACGCAAUCAGGAAAUGAUCCGCAAGCACACGGAUAUCGGUGAGCACUUCACCCGGGAUGUUAUCCAGAGUAUCGUAUUUAUAUUUUUACCACU
rnacentral:lncRNA from 1 species